rnacentral:ncRNA from 2 species
UUUCGACAAUCUGGAGAGAGGCGCCUGACGGCGUCCACCGAAGGAGAAAUCCCGUGAGCGCCUCGGCGCACGGGAGAAGCUCUCAGGUAACCGCGACAGAUGGGGGCAG